rnacentral:rRNA from 1 species
UGGGGAAUUUUGGACAAUGGGCGAAAGCCUGAUCCAGCAAUGCCGCGUGUGUGAAGAAGGCCUUCGGGUUGUAAAGCACUUUUGUCCGGAAAGAAAUCCUUGGCUCUAAUACAGUCGGGGGAUGACGGUACCGGAAGAAUAAGCACCGGCUAACUACGUGCCAGCAGCCGCGGUAAUACGUAGGGUGCAAGCGUUAAUCGGAAUUACUGGGCGUAAAGCGUGCGCAGGCGGUUUGCUAAGACCGAUGUGAAAUCCCCGGGCUCAACCUGGGAACUGCAUUGGUGACUGGCAGGCUAGAGUAUGGCAGAGGGGGGUAGAAUCCCACGUGUAGCAGUGAAAUGCGUAGAGAUGUGGAGGAAUACCGAUGGCGAAGGCAGCCCCCUGGGCCAAUACUGACGCUCAUGCACGAAAGCGUGGGGAGCAAACAGGAUUAGAUACCCUGGUAGUCCACGCCCUAAAACGAUGUCAACUAGUUGUUGGGGAUUCAUUUCCUUAGUAACGUAGCUAACGCGUGAAGUUGACCGCCUGGGGAGUACGGUCGCAAGAUUAAAACUCAAAUGAAUUGACGGGGUCAUAGCUGUUUCCU